rnacentral:rRNA from 1 species
AAGUUUUCGGAUGGAAUUUGAAAUGACUGAGCGGCGGACGGGUGAGUAACGCGUGGGUAACCUGCCUCAUACAGGGGGAUAACAGUUAGAAAUGACUGCUAAUACCGCAUAAGCACACAGUACCGCAUGGUACAGAGUGAAAAACUCCGGUGGUAUGAGAUGGACCCGCGUCUGAUUAGCUGGUUGGCGGGGUAACGGCCCACCAAGGCGACGAUCAGUAGCCGACCUGAGAGGAUGAACGGCCACACUGGAACUGAGACACGGUCCAGACUCC